rnacentral:rRNA from 1 species
UACGUAGGGGGCAAGCGUUGUCCGGAUUUAUUGGGCGUAAAGAGCUCGUAGGCGGUUCCGUAAGUCGUGGAGUCAAAUCUCUGGGCUCAACCCAGAAUCGCUUCCGAUACUGCGGUGACUGGAGUCCGGUAGGGGAGUGUGGAAUUCCUGGUGUAGCGGUGAAAUGCGCAGAUAUCGGGAAGAACACCCGUGGCGAAGGCGGCUCUCUGGGACGGUACUGACGCUGAGACGCGAAAGCGUGGGGAGCGAACAGG